rnacentral:rRNA from 1 species
UACAGAGACUGCAAGCGUUAUUCGGAUUCACUGGGCGUAAAGGGUGCGCAGGCGGUUGUGUGUGUCAGGUGUGAAAGCCCGGGGCUUAACCCCGGAAUUGCGCCUGAAACUACAUGACUAGAGCAUUGGAGAGGGUAGCAGAAUUCACGGUGUAGCAGUGAAAUGCGUAGAUAUCGUGAGGAAUACCAGAGGCGAAGGCGGCUACCUGGACAAUUGCUGACGCUCAGGCACGAAAGCGUGGGGAGCAAACAGG